AACGCACCUUGCGCCCUCUGGUAUUCCGGAGGGCAUGCCUGUUUGAGUGUCAUGUAGACUCAACCUCCCCGGUUUAUGAUCGGGACGGGUUGGAUGUGGGCGCUGCCGAUUGCCGGCUCGCCUUAAAUGUCUUAGCGGCUCUGAAUGCCCCGACCUAGCGUAAUAAGUUUCGCUGGCGAGGGUGCGGACGACUGCUUACAACCGCCCUCGGGCAAUACUUUGACUCUGGCCUCAAAUCAGGUAGGACUACCCGCUGAACUUAA
rnacentral:misc_RNA from 1 species